UGUGGGAGGGGGCUUGCCCCCGAUAGCAGUGUGUCAGCUAAAGAUAAAUGGGCUGAUCCACCGCCAUCGGGGGCAAGCCCCCUCCCACA
rnacentral:misc_RNA from 1 species